GCCGGCGAGGCAAUGAGUAUCUCGUGGU
rnacentral:sRNA from 1 species